AGUUGGGAAUCGGAGCAGGUGUGGCAGAACGACAUCGACCUCCUCAAGCCGUCGGCGGGUCCAGAGAAGCUCAACUCAUUCCUCAUGUGCCACGGCUGCUUCAACAUGUGCGCUGUUAAACCUUGUCGAGGGAGGCGGUGGCGACUGGUGGUGCGAAGCCGAUCCUCCACGAGGGCUUCUCCAUGCUGCUACGCUCUCCUGUCGGUCCCUUCUUGCCUUCGCUCAGGCAGGCACUAGCGCGGCUGACCCACUGUUGAUCAGCGACGGACACUGUGGCAACGCAGGUGUGCGAGGAGUCUCCGGCCGCUACAGGCUACAGCCUCAUGUUUGGUCUUCUAUUCUACUACCUUAAUCCCAUAAUUUUCUGCUCGGACCAUUCCAUUCUUGUUAGUUAUCACGUGGGAACCCAUCAGGCCUCAUGUGUGGAUAGAGAUUUUCUACCAUGGGAUUCGCAUUUGUGAGGUUCAGUUGGCAUAUUAGGCAACCCGUAUAUUUCAAAAAAGCACUGACCAAUAAUAGAUUGUGUGCACUGAUUACUGAUUCAAUUUCCAUUGUUCAUAUUAUGAUAUCUUUUCUGCUUGGAUUUUUGCAGGGGGUGAAGCAAACACUUAUUGGGAGGUACUCAAAAUUUGAUCACUUUGUUGUAGAAUCACGGUGCUGAUUAACUAAUCCUUGACUGAUUUUGAAUCUUUGGCAAUAGUUCAACAUCUUUUUUUAAUCACAAGG